CAUAAUGUCAAAAACUGAACACGCUCCCACCCUUCUUUCCCUUUCCUCUUCUUCCUUCACUCUGAUUGGAUCUCCUUCCUUCCUGCUUUGAAAGAAUCUCCCAAACAAGCCGAAGUUGGGCGCAAGUGAGGUUUUGAAUCACCACCAAUGAUUCUUCACCUCUGCCCUUUUCUUCUUAUGGCUCUAUUAGAGUUUUUGAAAUUCAAGUCUGCCACCAUAUCCCUGUUCUCUCUCUCUAUUAAGUAAAGAUAUUGAUGAGCUAGAGGGAGGGUGGCUAUGGAGUUUCGAGACACCUAACUGGCGAUGGCAGCAAAGAGGUGACCAUGGUUCAAUGAGCGACAUGGUGGUGUUUUGUGGCCCGACGGAGUGCACCAUUCAAUCUGCCUCAUUCUCUGCUGAUUCUUCUCUCCCGCACACACAAAAUUGAAGUUAUGGCGAUGGUGAUGAAGAUGAGGAAGUAGCCUAUGAUUUAGAAUACCCACGGUUAGAUUAUGAUUCUGUGAGAUCUUGAUGCAAAAGGAAUUAAUGGACAGAGCCAUGGAGAGAAAAAGACCAACAAUCUGUCAUACAACUCAAACCAAAAAUCCAUGGAGUUUCUUGCUUAAUAUGUGAGAUCUAGAAGCUGAGAUUAUCGCGUUAUCUCCAACAUCAUUAAUAUGUGAGAUUUGCUAAUAAGGGUUUUCAAAGGGACCAGAAUUUGCAGCUUCAUAGAAGAGGACACAACUUGCCAUGGAAACUUGAGCAAAGAAACAAGAAUGAAGUGUUGAAGAAGAGAGUGUACAUAUGUCCAGAGAAAAGCUAUGUUCAUCAUGACCCUUCUCGAGCUCUCGGAGACCUGACCGUAGUUGAGAAGCAUUAUAGUCGGAAACAUGGAGAAAAGAAAUGGAACUGUGAAAAGUGUUCAAAGAAGUAUGCGGUUCAAUCGGAUUAGCAAGAUUUGCGGUACUAGAGAGUACAAAUGCUGAACCGCAUACUUCCUUGGACACGUUUCACAGUUCCAUAUCUUUUCUCCAUGUUUCCGACUAUAAUGCUUCUUAAUUGCGUGCAGAUUUGCGAGAGCUCGAGAAGGGUCAUGAUUAGCACAGCUUUUCUCUGGACAUAUGUACACUUUAUUCUUCACCACUUCAUUCUUGUUUCUUUGCUUAAGAGUCUAUGGCAAGUUGUGUCCUCUUUUGUGAAGCUGCAAAUUCUGGUCUCUUAGAAAACCCUUAUUACAAAUCUCACAUACGAAUUGAUUCGUAGCCAUUAUUGAUGUUGGCGAUAAUGCGAUAACCUCGGCUUCUGGAUCUGUACAUAUAUAACACUACAAGAAAAAGAUCCUCAAGACGAGAUCAAUGGCAUAUACAACAGGUAUUGUAAACUUUUAAUUUGAAUAAAUAUAAACAAACAACUUUAGGCAUGUCAAUGGAUGGAUAUGGAUUGGAUCAUGAUCCGAUCCAUUAAUGAUCCAUUUAUCAUGAUCCGAUCCAUGAUCCAACAUAAUGGAUCGUGAUCCAAUCCAUAUCCAAAUAAUUUUAAAUGGAUGGAUCACUAUCCGGAUCGGUCCAUAUAAAAAAAUAUAAUAAAAAACCUCUAAAAAUCACAAAAAAUAAAAAAUGGUAAAAAUUCAAAAAAAAAAAAGCUAAAAAAAUAAUAAAAAAAUAAAUAAAUAAAAUCUAAAAAAAUAAAAAACCCCAAAAAAAAAAAAUCUAUAAAAUAAAAAAAAAAUCUACUUUGACCAGUUUAAUGGCUGGUUUUCAGUUAUAAUGUUAGGCAUAUACAAGGUUCAAACAGUUGUCAGAUUUCACAAACAUGAAAAUAUAGACUGUUGUCUAAUGCUCUAGAAUGGACGGGUAUAAAGAUGUACACAUUACAGUUUACACACAAACAAAAAAGAUCAACAAACCAAAUAUUGCAUUAAAAAUAGGGUGCAAACGAGCUUGAACCUAAAAUAUGAAAGAUAUUCCAGAAGGUGUUUUAAAAUAUAAAAUAACGCAAAGAGACCACCACAUACUUGGCGUGCUUUGACACCGAUUUUAUUCAAAUAUGCAGCAAAAAUCCUUUAGUACAGAAAUCCCAUUAAGAAGCCGCUCUAGUUCUUCUAAAUGGUCUGCAAGAAAGACCAAUGUAAGAUAAAAAGUUAAUAUUAACAGAAUAGUAAUUAAGUUAGCAGUUUGAAUCAUAACACAUCCAUAUGAUUUAGAUAGUUAUAUAAGAAAGAAUAUGACAUUAACAUCUUCUUGCAAAUUUACCUGUAACAAGUGUCCGUUCUAAUCCAAGCUCGUCCACUGUCCUGAGAAUGUAAAAUUACUACCCAAUCAGUCUGGGUUUUAAAAAGCGCGCCCUAGGCGCAAGGCGCAGGGUCUUGGGCUUUUUUGCUUGUCGCCUUGUGUUUUUCCAAGAAGCGCCCAAAAAGCGCAUUUUUUGAUGUUUUUUCGUGGGUUUUUUGGCCUGAGGCGCGCGCCUCAUGUACCCUAGGCAUAUGGUUGUACCUUGGCCUUUUGACUUGCAACAGCAGCAAAAAAAGCAUUAAAUGGUGCAAAAACUGCCACUCAAGGAACUGCUAACAAGAAAGCAAUAACAUGAUCGUUUAUGGAAUAUGCAUUCAAGAACUCAAGUGUUAAUAGUAAUUAAGAUAGUUGUAUAAUAUUAUUAGUUAUUGUAUUUUUGACGCUGCGGGGUGCGGCGACAUAUCGUGUAAUUACACCACAAAUGAUUUGGUUUAGCAUGAUUGUGUUAUGAGUUGUGAUGUAAAAAGUACACACCAAGAAUGAUUUGGUUUAGCCUGUUCAUGUUAUGAGUUGUGAUGUAAAACAUACACACGCCUCGGGUACGAAAAGCCCACCGCUUUUGCGCUUUGCGCCUCAAUUUUAGACCUUGUCGCUUUUGUGCGCCUCUCGCUUUUUAAAACCAAGCAAUCAGUAAACUAAAGUUCAUAAACUUUAAUAGUAAUUUAACACAACUUGCAGCCUUUUCUCCAGCCUGCAACACACAACUGAAACUGAAUUUAACAAUAUAAUAAAUUUAAAGUGAAUAAAAAAUUUAUAAUUCAAUUUAUGACUCAUUGGCCGAUAAUCAUCCAUACUGACAAUCUGACUAAUGACGCUCCCAACUUUCACUUUCGUUGCCAAAGGCAAUCCCACUUGCAUAAUCAUCAUACAUUUACAUGUGGAUUUCCACUUGACUUCGCUUACAUGGAUUAUUAUAAGCAAAAUCAAGUGUAAACCGUUGGCGAUUAUACGAGCGAAAUUGCCUUUUGACAACAAAAUGAAAGUUAAAGGUGCCAUCAGUAAAAAGUCUAUUAUUUAUAUUAUUUUUAUUUAAUACAUUAAUUAAUAGAAAAUAAACGAGCCGAGCUCGAGCUUGAGAAAAUACCUACGAGCCCUCAUAAGUUCAUCACAAGUUCAAUUACUCAAAAACGGAAAGUCAAUAAACCAUUACAAUAAAGUAAUCAAAUACGCACAAAGUUUGAAAUGAUGAAUCGCAGUAGUUUUAAAAUCACGAGUGCCGAGUUAUAGUACGCACAUAGAAUCCAGAUUAUCAAAAAAAUAAAUAAAUAAAUACCGCAACUUUAACAAGUGUCCUCAGCAGUUUAGCAUCAAGUUCCAAGUUGUUUACUGACCUCGUAAACCUCAAAAUCCAGACAAUUAACUAAUGCUGUAAACGAGAAGGUAUGAAGAUGUACACAUUACAGUUUCCACACAAACAAACGAGUUAAUUACUGUUUUCGUCCUUGUGGUUUGUCAAAAAUUACUAUUUUAGUCCAUUAGUUUAAAAAUUGCGAUUUCAGUCCCUGUUGUUUCACUUUCGUAACAAUUUCAGUCCCUGUAGUUUCACUUUCGUAACCAUUUCAAUCCAUUUAUUCUGUAAAUACAGGGACUGAAAUGGUUACGAGGUGGACUGAAAUGGUUACGAAAGUGAAACCCUAAAUUGCAAAAUUGAAAACCCUAGGUUAUUAAUACUGUUAAAAAAGACGGAUAGAAUAUUUACUGUGAUUGGAUGAGGAACGAUGAUGAUUGUGAAGAUGAUCGUUGAAUCGUGACGACUUUGGACUCUUGGAGGGAGAGAGGAGGCUCGAUUAUUUCAAAAUUUAGGGUUUGGCCUUUGAGAACUGUGGAUCUAUAGGAUGGAUCACUACAUAUAAUUAAUUGGAUAAAUGGAUUGAUCCAUUGGAUUAAUUAAUGGAUUAGGGGAUAUUUUUUAUGAUCUAAUAAGUGAUUUAAAUGGAUCAGAUUGGAUUGGAUUGGAUAUGGAUCAAUAUCCAAUCCAUUGCCUGGCCUAAACAACUUCCCCUUAAAAAAAAACAGUAAACAUACGACCCAAAUUAGCAGUUGACAGAGAAAGUCCAACCAACAUAACUAAUAUCCAAGAAAUUCAAAGAUGAAAUUGCAUAACUAGAUCAACCUUGUUAAAAAAACUAUGUGCACAUAAAGUGAACGUGCGAAACUGCAUCAAAAAACGAACCUGUGUUUUGACUUUUGAGCUGGAAAUUCGCCCCGCAACACAGACGGAGAAUCAACUAGUAUAUACACAUUACGGAAUUUGAACCAUUCACCCUCUUGAACAGAGGAAAACAAACCACCACACUGCCUCCCAUGUUCAAAAAAACUAUUUUUGUUUUAAUUUUCAGAUAUCAACAAAUUCUACAAAAGAAACAGAACUUUAUUUUUAUUGCACUUGAAUAAAAAAAAUGUCUCUAGGUCUUUAUUCAUAUAUCUAAAGGUAACCUUGACAUUAACUUUUGACCAGUUUCAUUUAUAUGAUGAGAAUUUAAGAAAUUGAUACAGAAAUUAUUGCAGCAAAAUAAGAUGACAAACAAUCGCAGGCCCGCUUACAUAAUCAUCAAAUGGCACCAGAUUGACGCCAAACGGGCCACAAGAACCGGUUAGCCAAUGGCUAUACAGUCCAUGUAUAGAACCUUGUCGACCGCCAGCAAAAGACAGCAUCCAUAUAUUAUAAAGACCGAACUACAAGCUAUAUCAUUCAGCAUUAUGACUCUAGAGUUGCAAUGUCUUUACCUUGUAUGUUUUUACAUGGAUACACAAGAAGAUAAAGAAGAUGUUAUACCGAUGGACCUCAUACAAAACACUUCCUCCAAAAAUGAGAUACAAGAACAAUCUAACUACCACAAUACCCGACACAUGUUGUAGAAUGUCGAAACAAGCGACCCCUUCACAUGUUUUAUCAUUUCCUCCUGCUCUGUCUUUUAACUCUAACAAUCCUUCUAUUAGACUUGUCGUCUCCACCACUACCUAAUGAGAAACUUCCUCCCGCACUAAACUGUGUUGCCGGAAAAGGACUCUGAGACGGUGCUUGUGCUUGUGGUUGCGGUUGGUUUGUCUGCGCACCGAACAUGAAACCUGGUGGCUGAACCGUUGUCGGUGGUGUCGGUGUGGCGGAACCAAACAUGAAACCCGGUGGUGUGCCGCUGGAAGCUUGACCGAAAGCAGGCGCUGGACUUGGUGUUUGGUUGGAGUCAUCGGCCAUACUGUCUUCCAUGCUCAUUUGAUCGGUGUUAUUAGUGGGCGAAGUUCCGAAAACAGGAGUCGAGUUUCCGAAAACUGGAGCAGGAGAAGACGGUUUUGAAGAAAAUGAGAACACGGAUGAUCCCGUUGAAGCACCUGCGUUAGAUGAUCCAAACAUGAAAGGCGAACUGCUGGCUGAAGGCAUAGAUGUAGUAGACGCCCCAAAGGAAAACGGUGUAGAGCCAAAGACGUUACUGGCGGAACUACCAGAUUUGGUCUCUGACGAAGCAACAGUAGGCGUUGAUCCGAAGCCAGAACCGAACAUGUUGGUAGCGGAACUACCAGAUUUGGGCUCUGAUGAGGCGACGGUAGAGUUAACUCCAAAACUAGGUGUCGAACCGAAGCCAGAACCAAACACGUUGGUAGCGGAACUACCAGGUUUGGGCUCUUAUCAGGCGACAGUAGAGUUAACUCCAAAACUCGGUGUUGAACCGAAACCAGAGCCGCCGGAUUUGGUCUCCGAUGAGGCGACAGUAGAGCUAAGUCCAAAACUUGGUGUUGCACUAAAGCCAGAACUGAACAUGUUGGUGGUGGAACUACUGGUCAAACCGCCAGAUGAGGUGGCGACAGAAGUAAGACCAAAACUAGGAGCUGAAGAACUAAAAAGAGACCCCGCUGAAGCGGAUGAUGGUGUCUCGCUAGUCCCUGAGCCAAACUUGAAUGGGACCGCCUGUGUAACGGCAGUAAAUGCAGCCUGUGUGUUUGCCUGAGAUCCGUUGGCAAAAUAAGAAGUCGAAUGAAAGCUUAAUUGGCUCUUUUAACGCAUGUCCCGACUGAUUUGAACCAAUGCAUAAGACCACGGUGAUCCUUCACAUAAAGCCAUGCUUGUAAAAAGGGAAAUAAACCAUCGUUUAUACCUCGUUCUUCAAUGUAACCAUGAAAUGCAUCCCUCAUUCUAUCAUCAAGGGCCCUGCAAAUUAUUUAAAAAAAAACAAUUAGUUAAAUCAUCUGUAUUAAUCAUAUCAACUUGUUUGUUGUUUGAUUAUACUUGCCUCUAUCUAUUAUAUUUCCUAAUUCACAUUUUAUAAAUUACAUUUAGGUCUACACUCUACAGCUCAUUGAGUUGACUCGGCAAUAACCAGUAGUGGUACAAACAUUUCAACUUCUUCAUCUCCCUACAAAUGAAAAUUGUGUAAAUAUAAAAGAAUAAGUCUCAAAGAGGCGCAGUGGGAAACCGGCAACAUGUUUUUUUUUUUUUUACUAUGACACAUUCUCCAGCUAUACAACCUCUAAUCAGCCUCAUAAGUCAUAACCUAACCCCGCUAAAUCGAUGAUAAACUUUAAGCGUUAGAAAACUUACAAAUAACAACUAAAACGAUAAUGUAAAAUUAUGUAACUUUCAAAGUUCAAUCCCAAACCAAAAAAAAAAAUGUUCAAAUGUAUGAAAAACAUUUAACCAAUGAGAAGUGAAACGUUUUCCUACUUAUAAACAAAUCCUGGGUUUUAAAAAGCGUGUUUUUCCACAAAGCGCAAGAAAAGCGCAAUUUUUUGGGUUUUUGGGGGUCUGAGGUGCACGCCUUACGUACUUUGGGUGUUUUUAUGUUGUUUUUAAUCAUCAAAGUGUUGUACAAUAGUUUUUUUUUGAUAAAAUCAUAUAUAAACCUUAAUUAUAGCUAUAUUUUGGAUAAGGGAUGCCAAAAUCCUAUGAGAUAAAUAUAAAAAUACAUAUAAUCUCCUUGCGUCUCGGGUACGAAAAGCCCACAGCUUUUGCGCUUUGCGCCUCAUUCUUAGACCUCAUCGCUUUUAUGCGCCUAUCAAUCAUCAUCAUCAUCUCCUUGCGCCUCGGGUACGAAAAGCCCAUACUCGGUAAAUCCCACCAAUAGCAAAGCUAAAGUAGUGUCUGAGGAGGGUAAGAUGUAGACAGCCUUACCUCGUAGGAGUAGGAGUAGAGAGGCUGCUUCCAGUGAGACCCCCCGGCUCCAUAGUGGUUUUGCAUCAAGCCUUGGACAUAAGGCACAUAACACUGAGCAAAGGCCAAUUAGUGCAUGUACCCCCUUGUCCUUCGGCUAUCAACGCCACCACCACAUGAUGCAUACAAAUCACAUCAAGUGUCCUCGCCUUCAAUCUCCUAUUAAUUACUAACAACUUGUGCUAUUUCAGUGUGUGUGUGUGUGUGACUGUGGGUGCUUUAUAAAAUUUAUAACUCUAUAUAACUAUAUAUAAUACAUUUCCAAUGGACACAAAGGUAAUUUAAUACCUCUUUUUUAAGAUGGCAGAUUAAAAGUCUUAGAUAAACCCUAUAUUUUUACAUUUUCCUUCCCAUUUUAUCCUCCUCUCUUUACAUCCCCUUUCAGAUAUGAUGAAAUCCUUCGAAUAUAAACAUCAGUUUGUUCAGCCGAAUCGUUCUCCUUCAAUUAGGCUUUAUGAUUGAAUCUCUACAGCCACAAAGGAAUUCAAUUCUGUUCCAAACCUCAUGAAAUACAGACCGAUCAUUCUUCCAAAGCUCAUGAAACAUAUUCUCUCUCUUUCUCUUCCAAACCUCCGGCUCGUGUAUCGCCUGAAUGGGUUCAACAUUUCCGGUUAAGGCUAGGGUUCCGGCGAUUGAAUGUCAGUAACUGUGAAACCCUUCAUCGUCCAAACGCACAAAAACAAAGACUUGAUAAAUGUUCCUCCCAAAUCUUCUACACAGGAUUCCGAUUGAGACUUCCAGGGUUUGAUUACGUUCGGUAAUGAUGAUAAUUGAGUGAGACUGAUCUAUACCCGUGUUUAGAAUGUGUAAUCGGUGUUUAAAGGGAUGAAUUGAAGCUGAAGGCGCUGUCUUAAAGAAGCAGAUCAAGGAUGUUUUGACAGAAUGGACUUCAUAUGAGCAUGUAGCUAUUGCUACUUUGGAGACCGUCAAUGCCUUUAUGUUGCAAAGGUGUCGAAUAUGCUUCCCCUCUUGAAGCGUGGAAUAGGCGUGCAUCAUUCUGGGUUACUCCCCAUACUGAAAGAAGUCAUUGAAAUACUAUUCCAAGAAGGUCUAAUUAAGUGCUUGUUUGCCACAGCGACAUUUAGCAUAGGUCUCAAUAUGCCUGCAAAAACGGUUGUUUUUUUCAAAUGUUCGGAAGUUUGACGGCGAUAAAUUCAGAUGGCUAUCGAGUGGUGGAUAUAUUCAAAUGAGUGGUCGAGCGGGUCGUAGAGGAAUUGAUGAUCGUGGGGUCUGCAUAUCUUCCACCGCUAAAAUGAUGGUCAAAAGGAGCGCCGACUGUUUAAACAGCGCGUUCCAUUUAAGCUACAACAUGCUUUUGAAUCAGUUGAGAUGCAAAGACGGUGAUCCAGAAAAUUUGCUUCGUAAUUCAUUCUAUCAAUUUCAAGCUGAUCGAGCCAUCCCUGAUCUUGAGAGACAAAUGAAAGUUCUUCAGGAGGAAAGGGACCCAAUUCACAUUGAAGAAGAGGAUAGCUUAGAAAAUUAUUACUCUUUGUUGGAGCAAUAUAAAGACUUAAAGAUGGAUGUGCGUGACAUCAUCUUUUCUCGUAGAUAUUGCGAGUAAACAUUUUUCUCAACAAAAGCAUAUACUUUGGAAUUGGAAGCUGAAGUUGCAAAACUAAAAGAAAUCAACCACGAAUUGCUUAAAAAACAGGCAU